rnacentral:rRNA from 1 species
AACAAACGCUGGCGGCGUGCCUAAUACAUGCAAGUCGAACGGGGAAAGCUUCCGGGCGAGUACUAGUGGCGCACGGGAGAGGAACACGUGGAUAAUCCGCCUUGGAGAGGGGGAUAACUAGUCGACAGAUUAGCUAAUACCGCAUAAAACCACAGGAACUGAGGUUCUAGGGGUCAAAGGUUUUUCGCUCCAAGAUGAGGCCGCGUAAGAUUAGCUAGUUGGUGAGGUAAUGGCUCACCAAGGCGACGAUCUUUAACUGGUCUGAGAGGAUGAUCAGUCACACUGGAACUGAGACACGGUCCAGACUCCUACGGGAGGCAGCAGUAGGGAAUAUUGCACAAUGGAGGAAACUCUGAUGCAGCGACGCCGCGUGGGUGAUGAAGGCCUUCGGGUCGUGAAGCUCUGUCGAAGGGGAAUAAAAAAAUGAAGGUACCCUGCAAGAAAGGAUCGGCUAACUUCGUGCCAGCCGCCGCGGUAA